rnacentral:misc_RNA from 1 species
AAGUCGUAACAAGGUCUCCGUAGGUGAACCUGCGGAGGGAUCAUUAACACAGAGGGGAGGGCAGCUGCAACUGCGGCUGCCUAUCUUUUCUUCUAUACACCCAUCUGUCGUGAACUAUUAUGACCCUUUUUCUGUUCUUUUGCAUUUCAGCGCCGCGAGCAAUUGCAGCUGAAUUUGCAACUGAAUGUUUCAUUUUUGUAACUGCAAACCCUUUCCAAUUGAUUUCCAAAUGAAAUCAACGCUUGUAACUGUGUUGUGUGUUUUCGCUGGGCAACUAGCGUGCACCACUCUUACGAACUAGAACAAAUUAGAGUACAACUCUUAGCAACGGAUAUCUUGGUUCUC